rnacentral:snRNA from 1 species
AUUUCUUUGGAGACCUCUGAUAAAAUUGGAAUUAUACAGAGAAGAUUAGCAUGGCCCUGCGCAACACAAAUCGAGUGAUGGUCCAAAACAUU